GUGCACGCGGCACGGCGUGCUGCUCGCUCUAAAUUUGGAGAGCUUAGCGCUCACUAGCAGGGCGUUAUUUUUAUCGCCGAUGCUCAUUGUUUAAGUGCUUCUCGCUACCAGCCUUUAUCGCUUCUGUUAACGACCCAGGCAUCUCAUUUCAGGCCAAUGACAAAAAAACAGCUGUAUUGAUGCUUUGCUGGUGAACAGGGAAUCAAAUGAACAGGAGGAGCUUAUGAGUCUUGGGCCUAGCAUCAGCAGUGGGAUCCGGAUUACUGGAGAAAAUCAAAACAGAACCAGGAGAGAUUGGUGGGACAUGUCAAUACUGAUAAGCCAGGUCACAUGACUGCCCCUCCUGAGAAAUAUGGUGCCGAGAGUCAUACUAGUGGAUUCAGUCUUCAAAUAUUAUGGGAUUUCAAUCAAGUUCAGAACUGAAGGUCCUAAACUGCACAGACGUCUGCACAAGUUUAAAAACGCUGAAGGAUCUGACCUCCGUUUAUCUGAUUGAAAUCUCUAGUGUAUUGAACACAGUCUGCAAUCACAGCCUGUAGACUUUAUUGUACCUCCUAGAAUAAAGAGAAGCACUGCAGUCAGUAAAGCCUUCAAUUACUGGGCCCUUAUGGUAUUUAAUAGUCUGCCGGCCAAUGUAAGGGAUGUCUGCUCUAUCUCGGCACGUAAAUCAAGACUAAAAACCUUCUGUAGCAUAAAUAAAGCCGCUGCUUCUACUGCCUGUGCUGCCGUCGAUAAGUGUUUAUAAAUAUGUGUUAUAUUUCUAUAUUUCUACUGACCUUCUGUUUGUUGCUUUUGUCCUCCUGGCAAGAGCAUUAGCCGAGUGAAUCCUACUGGAAUUUGGAAGCAGCCCCAGUCCUUACAGCAAAUGCUGCAGACCUACUUAACGUCACCUCCCAGAGCUCGGAUAAGACGCCCAUGCAGUGCAGUGCUCCUGCUUUGCAUAUUUUUUUUUUACUUGUAUAAAAUUAACAUGCUCAGAGGGGUUUGGCCCGACUGGCCUUUGACCUCACAAUGUGUUUUUUUGCAUCCAUAAGCAAACUCCAGAGUCUCUCUUUACUCUCAUUCAUACCUUCUAGUUUGAGAAUGUGAAUUGUUGCUAUGGAUAUUUUAAUCCUGUCACUAUGGCCGAAAUGUUUCUAAUGUGAUUUUUGCAUGUUAAGCAUAUUUGCGGCAACUGCUUUACCAAAUGUAUUCUAAAAAUCAGAACUGAUCAAAGUAGAACUAAAGUACAGUGGUUUAUGUUGCAUAUAUUACUUUUUAGGUCAGUAUGUAUAGUACAAAUCUAAAUGAUGGGUUUUAACAUAUGUGAUAAUACCUUUAGGACAUUAUACCUGUUUUUGCUGCUGCUGUUGCCUUGUUGCCUCGCACAUUAAUAAUUAGAUUCCACUGCCCCUCUGUGUGUGGAGUUUCCCUGCAUUUUACAUGUUUGGCUGGGUUUCCUUUCUCAGUAUGGAACCUCCUUGUUAAGUAAAAUGGUAUCUCUAAAAUA